rnacentral:misc_RNA from 1 species
GAUGAAGAACGCAGCGAAAUGCGAUACUUGGUGUGAAUUGCAGAAUCCCGUGAACCAUCGAGUCUUUGAACGCAAGUUGCGCCCGAAGCCAUUAGGCCGAGGGCACGCCUGCCUGGGCGUCACACGUCGUUGCCCCCCCAUCUACUCCUUCGGGAUUGCGGGGGGCGGAUGAUGGCCUCCCGUGCGCCUCGCCGCGCGGUUGGCAUAAAUGCCAAGUCCUCGGCGACGCACGCCACGACAAUCGGUGGUUGCGAAACCUCGGUUGCCCGUCGUGUGCGGUCGUCGCGCAUCGAGGGCUCGAAAAAAUUGCCGGGUUCCGGCUCGGCUUUCAACGCGACCCCUGGUCAGGCGGGGUUACCCGCUGAAUUUAAGCAUAUCAAUAAGCGGAGGA